ACAUUCUCCAGCAACGCGGUGCGGUACCGGGCUGAGUCCAAGCGCCAGGAGCCGCGGGGUCCUGGUUGCUGUUUUCCUGUGACGCUUGGCGGCGGCGGCCAGAGCGGCCCCAGCACCGUGCCCUGGGCUCACUGCGGCUCUCCUAUCACCCAGGGGUCGUCCCGGUCCGCCCGCACUCUUCUCUCCGCCCGACCCCCCUCUGGCUGCGCGUCCUCGGCUGGCUCGGGGAGGGCGCCGCUCCUCCCUGGGAGACCCCAGGGAGACCCGCCUCACGGCCUGCGCACCUCCUCUCGCUCUAAAGCGGCCGCUGGAGGAGCCACAGGUCUGGCGGGUCCAUGUCGAGGUGCCCUGGGCUCCCGCACGACCCCACGGCCUCCUGCGUCCCGCACCUCUUGUGUCCUGCAGCCGCCCGCGUCCUCUCUGGGACCCCUUCCUUCCGAGUCCGUCCACAUCCCCGGCGGUUCCUCUGAAAUCCGCACCCCCCAACCCCGGAACCUCGGCUCUUCCGCGCGCUCCUCGUCCCCGCAUCCUCAGCCCCUAGAUGUCCUCCGCGUUCUGUAUCCCCCUGCACCACACCGCUCCCUCUCUCCCUGCCCUUCGCACUAGGACCCUCAGGGACCAAAA
rnacentral:lncRNA from 10 species